ACUCCUACGGGAGGCAGCAGUAGGGAAUAUUGGGCAAUGGGCGAGAGCCUGACCCAGCCAUGCCGCGUGCAGGAAGACGGCCCUCUGGGUUGUAAACUGCUUUUAUCGGGGAAGAACAGCGGGGAUGCGUCCCUGUGUGACGGUACUCGAUGAAUAAGCACCGGCUAACUCCGUGCCAGCAGCCGCGGUAAUACGGAGGGUGCAAGCGUUGUCCGGAUUUAUUGGGUUUAAAGGGUGCGUAGGUGGUAUAUUAAGUCUGGUUUGAAAGUUGGUCGCUUAACGAUCAAGGGUGGCUGGAUACUGAUGUACUUGAAUAUUGUGGAGGUAGCCGGAAUGGGUUGUGUAGCGGUGAAAUGCAUAGAGAUGACCCGGGACACCAAUUGCGAAGGCAGGCUACUACGCAAUGAUUGACACUGAGGCACGAAAGCAUGGGGAGCAAACAGGAUUAGAUACCCUGGUAGUCCAUGCCGUAAACGAUGAUUACUGGCUGUUUGGGAUUCGUUCUGAGUGGCUAAGGGAAACCGCUAAGUAAUCCACCUGGGGAGUACGCUGGCAACAGUGAAACUCAAAGGAAUUGACGGGGGUCCGCACAAGCGGUGGAGC
rnacentral:rRNA from 1 species